AUUGAACGCUGGCGGCAGGCCUAACACACGCAAGUCGAACGGCAGCACGGGAGCAAUCCUGGUGGCGAGUGGCGAACGGGUGAGUAAUAUAUCGGAACGUGCCCAGUAGUGGGGGAUAACUGCUCGAAAGAGCAGCUAAUACCGCAUACGACCUGAGGGUGAAAGGGGGGGAUCGCAAGACCUCUCGCUAUUGGAGCGGCCGAUAUCAGAUUAGCUAGUUGGUGGGGUAAAGGCCUACCAAGGCAACGAUCUGUAGUUGGUCUGAGAGGACGACCAGCCACAUUGGGACUGAGACACGGCCCAGACUCCUACGGGAGGCAGCAGUGGGGAAUUUUGGACAAUGGGCGCAAGCCUGAUCCAGCAAUGCCGCGUGCAGGAAGAAGGCCUUCGGGUUGUAAACUGCUUUUGUCAGGGAAGAAAUCCUCUAGGUUAAUACCCUUGGGGGGAUGACGGUACCUGAAGAAUAAGCACCGGCUAACUACGUGCCAGCAGCCGCGGUAACAC
rnacentral:rRNA from 1 species